UACAAGCAAACGAGCUGCCUGGUUCUCAUCUUGCUUUUCGAACGAAUAUAUAUACUUCUCCCGAAACCAGUUUCAUAUUAUUUGUUUUUUAAACGAAGGCACAGUCUUCAACUUUUUUCUGCUCUAUCUCUCUCUCUCUAUCUAACCCUUUCUUUCUGUGUGCCUAUUAGGCUUACUGUGCCCUGAUACUGGGUCACACGGUUUCAAAGUUCCGUCUCUCUCUCUCUCUCUCUCUCUCUCUCUCUCUCUCUCUCUCUCUUCUCUUUUUGUUCUCUCUCAGACCCGUAUAUAAACAGGACCCUGAGCUUCCCAGCUACACGAGAAGCAAGCGAGCCGUCUGAAUAGAACGUGUGCUGUGAUUACCUACAUAUCAUCAUGAGUAAGAUUCUUUUGACCCUGAUCCUCAGCAUCUUGGUAGCAUCAUGCCUGGCCUACCCAUACCCUGACCCAAGCCACAUAGACGGCGACUUCGGGUACUACCCAUCUGAUUUCGGGUAUUCCCAGUCCUACAUUCACCAGCAUGCAGGUGGCCACCUGCCCCAUUACCACCAUUAUGGGCAUACGCACUUCGUGGCUCCUCAAGUUCACGGGCAUAUCCACUGAGGAGGGGAAAAGUUGCCAAUGUUUCUUGGGUCUUUCAAUUUCGGGCAUGACAUGGAAUGAUAUGAGAGAUGUGGUAGAUAUUCCUUGCAGAUGAUGCUCAGGGGAUUUUAGGAAUGGGAAUUUUUCUCAUUUUUUUUUCUUCUUUAUUUAAGUUACAGUCUGUCAGUCACAAAGCUCUUCUUGUAUCGUAUUCAUAUUCAUUAUUAGUGUAGACAGUAAUUUCCAUGUAUUUAAUAGUGAAAUUUCACAAUAUGAAUCACUAAAAGUGUCAACUUAUUUACCAUAUUUCCUACUGGAAAUUAAUUUGUAUUGUAUAAAAAAAAAAAUUCAUGUUUAAAUAUGUCACUAAAAAUGUCGAUUUUUUACCAUAUUUUGUACUGAAGAUAAAUUUGUACUUUAUAAAAAAAAUUUUCAUGUUCAAAAAUGUCACUAAAAACAAUAUGGAUUUUUAAACCAUAUUUUGUACUGAAAAUUAAAUUGUAAUUUAUAUAUAUAAAAAAAAGUCAUAUUUUCUUGUCAAUAAAAAAUGUCGAUUUUUUCAACAUAUUUUUUUUACAGUAAGAUGACUGAUCUUAAGAAUAUCUGUUCGGUCAAUGGAUUAUAUAGUACAUUUACACGAGAUAUAGAUAUCUCAAUUUCAUUUUGUUUGUUUUUUGGUCAAAGGAAUUAUUACACCAAAGUCAUCAAGGCUGACUUCAAUUUCGACAGUGGUUUACACAUUUCCACCCAAUCCAAACAGAUAUUUGAAUUGACCUGUGAUUGUUUUCGGUAACAAUAAAUCUUACACGAAAAUAUCGUCAAAUGUUGUGACUCUAUUUACGUGCAUUUUCCUCUGUCAAAAACUCAGGGCCAGUUGUAUGGUUCCAAUAAUGUACGAGUAUAAAUAAAAUCGUUGUUUUUA